rnacentral:rRNA from 1 species
AUUGAACGCUGUCGGCAUGCUUUACACAUGCAAGUCGAACGGUAACAGGCCGCAAGGUGCUGACGAGUGGCGAACGGGUGAGUAAUGCAUCGGAACGUGCCCAGUCGUGGGGGAUAACGCAGCGAAAGCUGCGCUAAUACCGCAUACGAUCUAUGGAUGAAAGCGGGGGACCGUAAGGCCUCGCGCGAUUGGAGCGGCCGACGUCAGAUUAGGUAGGUGGUGGGGUAAAGGCUCACCAAGCCGACGAUCUGUAGCUGGUCUGAGAGGACGAACAGCCACACUGGGACUGAGACACGGCCCAGACUCCUACGGGAGGCAGCAGUGGGGAAUUGUGGACAAUGGAGGCAACCCUGAUCCAGCAAUGCCGCGUGCAGGAAGAAGGCCUUCGGGUUGUAAACUGCUUUUGUACGGAACGAAACGGCUCUGGUUAAUACCUCGGGGUAAUGACGGUACCUGAAGAAUAAGCACCGGCUAACUACGUGCCAGCAGCCGCGGUAAUAC